UACGUAGGGUGCAAGCGUUAAUCGGAAUUACUGGGCGUAAAGCGUGCGCAGGCGGUUAUGCAAGACAGAUGUGAAAUCCCCGGGCUUAACCUGGGAACUGCAUUUGUGACUGCACAGCUGGAGUGCGGCAGAGGGGGAUGGAAUUCCGCGUGUAGCAGUGAAAUGCGUAGAUAUGCGGAGGAACACCGAUGGCGAAGGCAAUCCCCUGGGCCUGCACUGACGCUCAUGCACGAAAGCGUGGGGAGCAAACAGG
rnacentral:rRNA from 1 species